UUCCCAUGUUUUUCUUCCAUCUCUCUAACAGCGGAACAUAAACCACAAUCAUAAAUAUGAAAAAGCUGAAUGAACCAAUCGAGAAAUUGAAUUAUAAUUCAUCAAAUACAAGUUACCGAUACCAUUUGAGGUUUAAGAAGAUCAAAAUCAAAACAAGAACCAUCAAAGAAGAAGAAGAAAAGUUGGGGUAAAUUGAUUUUUCCAUAAUCGAUUUACCGUCAUCUUCAACAAUUUCGAUUUGAAGAUUCAAAGAAAGAUUAAAAAAACUUAAAUGAGGAAACCAUCAAAAGCAAAGUUGAAGAAUAAAGUGCAAGAAGAGAAGGAAUCACCAGAAGUUAAGAAAGGUAAAGCACCAAAAGCAAAGACGAAGAAGAAAACGCAAGAAGGGGAGGAAUCCUCGGAAGUU